rfam:Thielavia terrestris NRRL 8126 chromosome 2, complete sequence.
GGUCCGCUGGCUCAAUGGCAGAGCGUCUGACUACGAUGAUGUAAUCAGGAGGUUCCAGGUUCGACCCCUGGGUGGAUCG